rnacentral:lncRNA from 1 species
CCGAGGGGCAUCCUCAGCCCUUUCCGGGUUUUGGACACUGUCAGCCCGGAAGUGACGUGUUUCUGCCCACCCACUGCGUCGUCCCCCCCCCGCCCCCAGCGCGUGCUGGCACCUGGUGCGCCGCCCACCUGUGGUGCGUGGGGCGGAGGUGCGAAGAGGGCGCGAAGGGCCGCGCUGCAGAGAAGGCCGCCAUGAUGGACGAUGGACGAUGGACGAGAAGGUGUCCAAGCGUUCGCGGAAGGAGGAGAUGUUGCCCUCUGGGCCAACUCAGACUGUGAAGCCACAUGGAAAGGUGACAGGCCUCACCAGGGAGGGUGUCCCUUUGGCAGGCUCUCUGUGGGACCUCAGAGAGAUGACAGCUUCCCUCCAGAGGACUUGGAA